rnacentral:rRNA from 1 species
AUUGAACGCUGGCGGCAGGCCUAACACAUGCAAGUCGAGCGGCAGCGGGAAAGUAGCUUGCUACUUUUGCCGGCGAGCGGCGGACGGGUGAGUAAUGCCUGGGAAAUUGCCCAGUCGAGGGGGAUAACAGUUGGAAACGACUGCUAAUACCGCAUACGCCCUACGGGGGAAAGCAGGGGACCUUCGGGCCUUGCGCGAUUGGAUAUGCCCAGGUGGGAUUAGCUAGUUGGUGAGGUAAUAGCUCACCAAGGCGACGAUCCCUAGCUGGUCUGAGAGGAUGAUCAGCCACACUGGAACUGAGACACGGUCCAGACUCCUACGGGAGGCAGCAGUGGGGAAUAUUGCACAAUGGGGGAAACCCUGAUGCAGCCAUGCCGCGUGUGUGAAGAAGGCCUUCGGGUUGUAAAGCACUUUCAGCGAGGAGGAAAGGUUGAUGCCUAGUACGUAUCAACUGUGACGUUACUCGCAGAAGAAGCACCGGCUAACUCCGUGCCAGCAGCCGCCGCGGUAA